AUGAGUUCAUCACCACUAUUGCCUUCUAACAUGCAUUAUUCCAACAAAAAGUUUCAUAGUAUUUUAUCAUUUUUUUGUUCACUCAACAUAGCAAUAAGUUGUGGAACAACUCUCUAUUGUGCAUACAACCAAAAUGACAUACCUAUGAUAAUCUUCGUAAUUUUUGUCUACUCUAGUUCAUUUUUAUUGAACCAUUGGUCAAAUUUGUACCAUAAGUUAUCUCGGCCCGACCGAGUUUCUUCGAAGGGACGUAACAUAAAAAUC